UACAGAGGGGGCAAGCGUUAUUCGGAAUUAUUGGGCGUAAAGGGCGCGUAGGCGGCUUUGCAAGUGGCGGGUGAAAUCCCUCGGCUUAACCGAGGAACUGCCUGUCAAACUGCAUGGCUUGAGACCAGGAGAGGUGAGUGGAAUUCCCAGUGUAGCGGUGAAAUGCGUAGAUAUUGGGAGGAACACCAACGGCGAAGGCAGCUCGCUGGGACGGUACUGACGCUGAGGCGCGAAAGCGUGGGGAGCAAACAGG
rnacentral:rRNA from 1 species